AAUUUUGGUUGAAAAGAAUAAUUAGUGAAUUGUGAUCAGAGAUUGCGUAGCUGUUAUAAUGAAACCCAUUACCAAAGAAAAAUUGUAAAUUCUAUAGAGCUGACUUAGAAUAAAAUGAACAAGAGGCUGCAAUGACCUUCACUUGGGCUUCCUCUAUGAGGGGAUGUUACUAAUCAGAGUAACCCAGUAAUGAGUAACAGUAACAGGGAAACAAGUAAUGGCACCAAGUGAGACCAACAACACCUCAGGUUUAAUUAAGUUUUUUCAAUCACUCCUCACUUUAACCUUUCAAAUUUUAAUCUUAAAACUUCUGUUUAGAGUUUAUUCCAAGCAUAAUUGAACUAAAAGACUUUUGAGUUUAGGUGCAAACCCAACACUACUUUUUUUUAUCAUUUUGAUUGUUUAUGAGCUGAUGUGAAACACAAGCCAUGGGGACAAUUAAAGUCAGCAAAAAAGAAAGAGAGGGAGGAAACCUGCAGUCGCAAAAUAUAAAUUCUGAGGUAUAUCACUUGAGUUAAGCAAGGGAGUGUGCAAAGUAAGCAUGAGAGAAAGAGCAUGGAGUAUAAUCAUAGAGCAGGGGUGAAGCAGCAGGCAUGGACCGAGGUACUUUCCAAAAAUUGGACUUUUACUUCAAUGUUCCCAAUGAAUAAUCUUUGAUUUCAAUUUUUCAUCAAUAUUCUUUUUAUAUCUAGAUACAAGUUCUGCUACUGUUAAUACUACAGUGUAGUUACCAAUAACCAGGAGUUUCCUCAUUCAUAGUUACUGUGUCAGCAGAAUUUUUCCCAUUCAAGUAUUGUAAGAGAAAUAAUGACUUUUUGUACAUUUUGUAAUAUGUAUAGUUUUUUCUCUUUAAAUCGAUUUUAUUUUUCCAGUAAUAUAGAAUAAAUAUCUUGUUUAGUACCUUACUUUUUUUUCAUUAACAUUUACAUUUACAUGUUAUUAGGUUGGUAAAAU